rnacentral:rRNA from 1 species
AUUGAACGCUGGCGGCAGGCCUAACACAUGCAAGUCGAGCGGAUGAAGGGAGCUUGCUCCUGGAUUCAGCGGCGGACGGGUGAGUAAUGCCUAGGAAUCUGCCUGGUAGUGGGGGAUAACGUCCGGAAACGGGCGCUAAUACCGCAUACGUCCUGAGGGAGAAAGUGGGGGAUCUUCGGACCUCACGCUAUCAGAUGAGCCUAGGUCGGAUUAGCUAGUUGGUGGGGUAAAGGCCUACCAAGGCGACGAUCCGUAACUGGUCUGAGAGGAUGAUCAGUCACACUGGAACUGAGACACGGUCCAGACUCCGACGGGAGGCAGCAGUGGGGAAUAUUGGGCGAUGGGCGAAAGCCGGAUCCAGCCAUGCCGCGUGUGUGAAGAAGGUCUUCGGAUUGUAAAGCACUUUAAGUUGGGAGGAAGGGCAGUAAGUUAAUACCUUGCUGUUUUGACGUUACCAACAGAAUAAGCACCGGCUAACUUCGUG